UCUGGUUGAUCCUGCCGGAGGUCACUGAGUAUUAGGGAUUCGACUAAGCCAUGCGAGUCGAGAGGGUUCGGCCCUCGGCUGACGGCUCAGUAACACGUGGAUAAUCUGCCCUAAGGUGGAGGAUACCCUCGGGAAACUGAGAAUAAUACUCCAUAGGUCUAGGAGGCUGGAAUGCAUCUAGGCUAAAAACUCCGGUGCCUUAGGAUGAGUCCGCGGACUAUCAGGUUGUAGUCAGGGUAAUGACCUGACUAGCCUUCGACGGAUACGGGUUGUGAGAGCAAUAACCCGGAGACGAKAUCUGAGACACGAUAUCGGGCCCUACGGGGCGCAGCAGGCGCGAAACCUUCACACUGUGCGAGAGCACGAUGAGGGGAUCCCAAGUGCUGGCACGUAAGUGUCAGCUGUUUCUUUGUCUAANAAACAGAGAGAGUAAGGGCUGGGUAAGACGGGUGCCAGCCGCCGCGGUAAUACCUGCAGCUCAAGUGGUGACCGCUAUUAUUGGGCCUAAAACGUCCGUAGCCUGUUUGGUAAAUNGCCUGGGUAAAUCGUGUCGCUUAACGAUACGAAUUCCGGGUAGACUGCCAGGCUUGAGACCGGGAGAGGUUAGAGGUACUCCGGGGGUAGAGGUGAAAUUCUGUAAUCCUCGGGGGACCACCAGUGGCGAAGGCGUCUAACCAGAACGGGUCUGACGGUGAGGGACGAAGCCCUGGGGCGCAAACCGGAUUAGAUACCCGGGUAGUCCAGGGUGUAAACGCUGCUCGCUUGAUGUUAGUUGGGCUCCGAGCUCGACUAGUGUCGGAGAGAAGUUGUUAAGCAAGCUGCCUGGGAAGUACGAUCGCAAGAUUGAAACUUAAAGGAAUUGGCGGGGGAGCACAGCAACGGGAGGAGCGUGCGGUUUAAUUGGAUUCAACGCCGGG
rnacentral:rRNA from 1 species